UACGGGGGGAGCAAGCGUUGUUCGGAUUUACUGGGCGUAAAGGGCGCGUAGGCGGUAGCACAAGUCAGUUGUGAAAUCUCCGGGCUUAACUCGGAAAGGUCAACUGAUACUGUGCGACUAGAGUGCAGAAGGGGCAACUGGAAUUCUCGGUGUAGCGGUGAAAUGCGUAGAUAUCGAGAGGAACACCUGCGGCGAAGGCGGGUUGCUGGGCUGACACUGACGCUGAUGCGCGAAAGCCAGGGGAGCAAACGGG
rnacentral:rRNA from 1 species